GUGCACCAGUCGCGAAAACUUCACACUGUGCGAAAGCACGAUGAGGGAAUCCCAAGUGCUUGCACGUAAGUGUAAGCUGUUUCUCUGUCUAAAACGCAGAGAGAGUAAGGGCUGGGUAAGACGGGUGCCAGCCGCCGCGGUAAUACCUGCAGCUCAAGUGGUGACCGUUAUUAUUGGGCCUAAAACGUCCGUAGCCGGUUUAAUAAAUGCCUGGGUAAAUUGUGUAGCUUAACUAUACGAAUUCCGGGUAGACUGUUAAACUUGAGACCGGGAGAAGUUAGAGGUACUCCUGGGGUAGAGGUGAAAUUCUGUAAUCCUAGGGGGACCACCAGUGGCGAAGGCGUCUAACUAGAACGGGUCUGACGGUGAGGGACGAAGCCCUGGGGCGCAAACGGGAUUAGAUACCCCUGUAGU
rnacentral:rRNA from 1 species